CAGUGUGAAGGAGUUCAGGCUGGGACAUCUGUUAUCCCAUUGAUCACCCGGGUUAAGUAUCUGUCAUGGCAGACCAAGUAGGUAUCCUCUUCCUGCCUCACUCCUUCAUAGACACUCUCACUUGGCUAAAUAGAAUGACCUAUCCAAGAAAAGAGAAUCUUCUUUGGUCAACAGCAUCAGAAUUGUUAGUCUCCCUUACUGGACUUGCUAAGCCACCUGCCAUGUGCUUUGCAGUGUUGUGCUCCUUUGAUAGUACUGUCCCUUCUAUAGACCAAACUCCAGAGACAACAGAGUAUCUAU
rnacentral:snRNA from 1 species